CUUGAAUUCCUGACUGCAAAACUGAAGCAAGUUUCUUUCACUGAUUCAACAAAUGGGGAAACUAAGGAACAGGAAGAUUAAAGUUUCCAGAGUUCAAACUGCUACUGAUUGACAGAGCCAGAAUUCAAACCCAGCAAGUCUUAACCCUACAGUGCACACUCUUAGGACUUCGGUGACUUCAGCCCCUGCUGUCUGUGCCACUCAACUGCCAACUCUAUUUAGAUUCUUGUGUUCCUGGUCAUCUUUAUAUUUCCAUCUCCAUCACCAUGAUUUUGAAUCUUUGGGAUCUCCCGUCUGAUCUUGUAGGGCAUUUAACAAAUGGAAAUAUUGGUUGAAAAGAAAAGUAAAAACUUAAAAAUUCUAUGUGAGAAAUAAUACCACAAGGUGAAAACACGGAUAACAAAUCAGAAGAAUAAAAUAUAUGACAAAGAUUUAAUAUCCUUACCACCCUUUUACAAAUCUAUAAUAAAGAAGGCAUGCAACCUAUCGUUAAAAAUGAGUAAUAUAAAAAUGAGUAACAUAAGAGUUGAUCCUUUCAUAGUUCAUAUGCGUGCUGAUUGGGGGUUCAUGCUCUGGUGUGAGAUGUGCUUCCCUCAAGCCUUGUUAAGACAUGAGCACAUUACCAUCUGAUAUGAACAUAAUAAUAAUAAAAAUAAGUAAUGUAACAGUAAAGUAAGCAAUUCACACUAGUGGAAAUGGCUAAGUAAUUUAUAAAAAGGUUUACUUCACUGGUAAUAAAAUGAAUGAAAAUCUG
rnacentral:lncRNA from 1 species